rnacentral:lncRNA from 1 species
CGACAGUAGACCCUGGAAAGGCAGUCAGCAAGAGGAUGACACCAAGGAGCACUGGGGACCACGCCAUCAUGGACUAUGGAACAACAGUGACCAGGUGGGGGAUGGGGUCUCCAAUUUCUUCCUGCCCUCCCUCUCCCCAGAAACAAGGAAACCUGUGUUCUCAGUCCUGUCCCCGCCCAAAACCAGUCCCAAAUUUUACCCACACUACCUAGAGGCUGCUAUCCAGCCAAAACCAUUUCAAGGACAGGGUGAGGGCUGUAGGCCCCAGGAAAUGCCCAGAUAGGCCCCAAGUAACCCAAGCCACUACAAGUGACAGCCACCCCCCAGCAGAGGCCCAGACAUGCAGGUAUGAGAUAUUUGAAUCCCUGGAGUCAGCUCAGGUAACUGGACGCCUUCACUCUCCCUCCAGGUACAGAACCAGAGGAGCUAAUGUGGAAAACCACCUUGGAAUUUCCUGUGCUGAGGGGCAGAACAAAGCAACCUUUUGAUUACCAGGCCCACCUCUCAGAUGAUCCAGUGAAUACUUUAUGUUGGGCCUCGGGCUAGGUAAUGUCCCACCAUGUUCACUAUUCAUCCCCAACUGCCACUUCCUGACUGGAUGACCUGGGCUAAGCUAUAGAAAUACAGCCUCACCUUGCUCAUACAUAAAAUGGGGAUAGGAAUAAAAGCAAAAGUUACAGAGCAUUCAUAAAGUAAAUUUUUAUUUGGUUAACUCAAACAGAUAUUCUGCAUCACCUCAGAAAGGACUGUGAUAACCACAUGUGCAUGGAAAUGGAAGUGCAGAAAGUUAAGGAACUUGGCCCCUGCACGAUGGCACACAUCUGUAAUUCCUAUUAACUCACUGAAGUAAGAGGAUUCAAG